CCUACGGGGUGCAGCAGUGGGGAAUAUUGGGCAAUGGGCGGAAGCCUGACCCAGCAACGCCGCGUGAGGGAAGAAGGUUUUCGGAUUGUAAACCUCUGUCCUUGGGGACGAAGGACGUGACGGUACCCGAGGAGGAAGCCACGGCUAACUACGUGCCAGCAGCCGCGGUAAUACGUAGGGGGCAAGCGUUGUCCGGAAUCACUGGGCGUAAAGGGCGUGUAGGCGGUCAUGUAAGUCAGAUGUGAAAGACCACAGCUUAACUGUGGUAAGCAUUUGAAACUGCUUGGCUUGAGUUAAGGAGAGGAAAGUGGAAUUCCUAGUGUAGCGGUGAAAUGCGUAGAUAUUAGGAAGAAUAUCAGUGGCGAAGGCGACUUUCUGGACUUAUACUGACGCUGAGGUACGAAAGCGUGGGGAGCAAACAGGAUUAGAUACCCUGGUAG
rnacentral:rRNA from 1 species